rnacentral:tRNA from 1 species
UGGGCUGUGGCUCAGUGGUAGAGCACUUGCCUAGAAUGCAUGAGUCAGUGGGUUCGAUCCUCAACACCACAU